rnacentral:lncRNA from 1 species
CGAUUUCAGGUUAUGGGAAUUGAUAAAAAAAAUAAAUAAAUAAAUUUGUGUCGGUUUAAUGGAAAUUGGAAAGAAAGUAUAUAUUUUUCUUGUUAAUUUUGAGUUGUCUAAUUUAGUUAACACAUCUUGAUACCAGCUGAGCUGCUACUGGUAUACAAGUCCUCAUUACUUAUCCAGAAGUUGUCAAGUCUUUAGUGUCUGAUUCGUGACUGAAAUUAUUGAAGCUUAAUGAAAUGUUUAACAUUCAACAGUGAUUUUUGGGAGUUUAAAAAGUCAGACUACAAUGAUUUGAUCAACUUUGUUUGGAUAUUUAUGCAUAAAACAUAGCACCAAGCAGUGAAGACUAUGAUCAAUUGUCUGUAUGUAAGUCUUUCAAAAUCUUUUGCAGCUUUUCUUUGUUACAGGUGAAUAGCUUCUUGAGCAUAUAUACUUCUUUGAGGUUAGAAAUUGAUCCCUUGAACCAUAUUAUGAUCUUUUUUUCUUCAAUAAAACACGUAUCUAUUCUCCUCAUUCGAAGCUGUUUCCACAUCAUGAAAUGUUGCUUCUGCUGCAACCUAGUUUUAAACAAGGACAGGGCAUCUCCCUUUUCUUAUGUUUAGGAAUUAGGAACCCUAAACUAACUAGCUAAAAUGGUAACUACAGCCUACUACAAAGCAAAUUAAAGAUUGAACCAAGGACAAGGGCAUAUCCCUGUUUUAUGUUUAGUUGGCAUUCUCUAUAAUCUUCUCUUGUACAAGUAUAAUUAUCACUUGCGUAAAUAUAAAACACUCUAUAGAAACCCUAAUAUGUACAAGAAGAUUAUUGGGAUUGCCAACAAUCAACCAAUUUUAUACGUAUUUCAAUUAGUUUUAACUAUAGUUUUUAGGAAAGUUAUUCUCGACAUACCUUGUUUUGGAUACACAUUUCAUACCAACUAAGCGGUACGAAAAAAACCCAUCCUUCCACAUAUCAUACCGAAACGAGAUCUAGGUUACACUAGUUUGGACCUUGGAAAUAGCAGAGGCAAAAGAAAAGAAAAGAAAAUGAAAGAGAAGAAUGAAAAGAACUUUGCAAUCAGUUCAUUAAACUUGAUUUAUGUAUUAUACUUGGUAUCAAGAUUUGUAAGAAUAGUAUAGUUCUAGGUUUUGUCUUCUUCUUCUUUCCCUCCCUUACUCUCAUUAUUUCCAGUAUGCAAACAGAGAGGGAUAUAUUCUUUCGUAUUCAAAUCAUAUUUUAUGUUGCAGUAACAAGCUCCAUGUUCUUAUGUAGGUGAAGGAUGUCAUGGAAGUCGGUGCAAAUAUUAGGACAGGACUGGGGGGUCGUCCCAGAGCACGAGAUGAAUAGAUUUAUUACAGGAUCAUUGUAAAAUUGUAGACUUCAGAGUAGUUUGUUAGUAUUUGUUUUUUCAGUUUCUCCUAAGAGAGAGCUUAUCCUUCUCUUCGUCUUCUACAUUUGGGGACGCGAGAAACUUCAACUUUUGACUAUCAGAAAGUUGCAAGUAAAGAAAAAUGUUGGUAGGUUCGGUUCUGUAGUUCUAAAAAAGUAUAAGUAGAUAAUAAAUUGAUUACUGUUUCUUUACAAUGCUAUGAACUUUAUAUUGGCUUUACCCUACCCUACCCUACAUCUGAUUUUUCACAAUGAUAAUUAUAUAAGUAGAAUGACAAGUAACAAAGUAUGUGUGAUUUAUUUGCUAUACACAAAAGUGAGAAGACC